rnacentral:rRNA from 2 species
UGUCAUGCCAAUGGCACUGCCCGGUAGCUAUGUUCGGAAUCGAUAACCGCUGAAAGCAUCUAAGCGGGAAGCGAGCCUCGAGAUAAGCUCUCACUAGCACUUUAAGUGCUCUGAAGGGUUGUUGAAGACGACGACGUUGAUAGGCGGGGUGUGGAAGCGUAGUAAUGCGUUGAGCUAACCCGUACUAAUUGCCCGUGAGACUUAACCAUACAACACCGAAG